rnacentral:ncRNA from 1 species
CAAAAGUUUUAUUUAAGCUUGAAAUAUUGAUUUAUAAUUUUUAUACAUGUAAAUAUUUUUGUGAUUAAUUAUUAAUUUAAAAAAUUAAUAAUUUAUUAUUAUUCGCAGUUUAUAAUUUUUUAUAUUUAAGAAAUUAAGAUUAAGGAAUUUAUUUUAGUAUUAACAAAAUUUGUGCCAGCAGUUGCGGUUAUACAAAUAAUAUAAUUAAUAUUUUUUGAUUAAUAAUUAAUUGAGUUAGUAAUAAAUAAAAAUUAAUGUUAUUAAGUGAAAUUUUAACAUUAAAUAUAUUUAUUAAUAAAAUUAUGAAGUUAUUAAAUUUUUAUUUAAACUAGGAUUAGAUACCCUAUUAUUUAAAAUGUAAAAUAAAAUAUUUAAUUAGUAGUAGUUAUGUUCUUUAAAAUUAAAAAAUUUGGCGGUAUUUUAGUCUUUUCAGAGGAACCUGUUCUAUAAUUGAUAUUCCACGAUUAAUUGUACUUGAUUUAUUAGUUUAUAUAUCGUCGUAGGUUGAAUAUUUUAUCAGAAAUUUAAUAUUCAUUAAUUUUUAUUAAAAAUUAAAUCAGAUCAAGGUAUAGCUUAUAAUUAAGAAGAAAUGGGUUACAAUAAAAUUAUUUAAAUGGAUUUAAAUUUGUUAAAUUUAAAGAAAGUGGAUUUGAAAGUAAUAUAAUUAAUUUAAAUUAUAUGAUUUAAGCUCUAAAAUAUGUACAUAUUGCCCGUCGCUUUCAUAUAAAAUGAAAUAAGUCGUAACAAAGUAGAUGUACUGGAAAGUGUAUCUAGAAUUA